rnacentral:rRNA from 1 species
AUUGAACGCUGGCGGCAGGCUUAACACAUGCAAGUCGAGCGGGGUGAUGGUGCUUGCACUAUCACUUAGCGGCGGACGGGUGAGUAAUGCUUAGGAAUCUGCCUAUUAGUGGGGGACAACAUCUCGAAAGGGAUGCUAAUACCGCAUACGUCCUACGGGAGAAAGCAGGGGAUCACUUGUGACCUUGCGCUAAUAGAUGAGCCUAAGGCGGAUUAGCUAGUUGGUGGGGUAAAGGCCUACCAAGGCGACGAUCUGUAGCGGGUCUGAGAGGAUGAUCCGCAACACUGGGACCGAGACACGGCCCAGACUCCUACGGGAGGCAGCAGUGGGGAAUAUUGGACAAUGGGGGGAACCCUGAUCCAGCCAUGCCGCGUGUGUGAAGAAGGCCUUAUGGUUGUAAAGCACUUUAAGCGAGGAGGAGGCUCUUUUGGUUAAUACCCAAGAUGAGUGGACGUUACUCGCAGAAUAAGCACCGGCUAACUCUGUGCCAGCCGCCGCGGUAA